rnacentral:rRNA from 1 species
GAUGAACGCUGGCGGCGUGCUUAACACAUGCAAGUCGAACGGAAAGGCCAGUGCUUGCACUGGUACUCGAGUGGCGAACGGGUGAGUAACACGUGGGUGAUCUGCCCUGCACUUCGGGAUAAGCCUGGGAAACUGGGUCUAAUACCGGAUAGGACAAUGGUUUGGAUGCCGUUGUGGAAAGUUUUUUCGGUGUGGGAUGAGCUCGCGGCCUAUCAGCUUGUUGGUGGGGUAAUGGCCUACCAAGGCGUCGACGGGUAGCCGGCCUGGGAGGGUGUACGGCCACAUUGGGCGGGAGAGAGGGCCAGGAUACGGAGGGGAGGCGGCGGGGGGGAAGAUGCAACAAGGGGAGAAGCCGGGAUGAGCCGGCGCGGCGGGGGGGAGGACGCCCUUGGGUUUGUAAACCCCUUUCCCUAGGGAAGAGGCUUAUUGGGGACGGUCCCUGGAAAAGAAGCCCCGGCUAACUACGUC